AAUGAAGUGCCUGACUAAAGGAUCAUCGUGAUAGGAUGAAUAAUGCACACAAUGUCUUCAUUA
rnacentral:tRNA from 1 species